rnacentral:snRNA from 1 species
GGAUGUGAAGGCGAUCUGACUGCAAUAUCUGUCACCUCACUGAUGGCCAGGGUUGAUUCAGCUGAUCUGGCUGACUAGGCGGGUGACCCUUCCUCCCUCACCGCUCCAUAUGUGUCCCUCCUGAAGCCACACACUUGGUCAAAAACGACGACCAUCUACAAUGGAGGAGGACUGGUCUUGUUGGCUCAAGGGUAUACAAGUAGCUGUGCUCCCCUGCUAGAACCUCCAAACAAGCUCUCAAAGUAAUUAUGGCUGAAUUGCUUGGUUUCAAGUUAAUUUUAGUAGAAGGGCAAUCUGAAUAUAACCACUUUCA